rnacentral:lncRNA from 10 species
GAGAGAAAAAGAUUUAUCUUAAGUCAUUGGCUCACACAACUGUAUAAACCUGGUGAAUCUAAAAUCUGACUGGGGAGGCCAACAGACUGAGGACUGACUCAGGAAAAAGUUGAACUUCAAGUCUGAAGACAGUCUGCUGGUGAGCCAGGAAAAGCCAAUGUUGCAGAUGAAGUUGGAAAGCAGUCUGCUGGCAGAACUUCCUCUUGCUCAUGGGAGGGUUUAUCUAAGUGUCACCCCCUUCAAAGCUGAAAAAUACACAGGAACAUCAUCAACGGUGCUUAGUACUUCUCAUGUGGCCCCAUGAUCAUCAUGUUUGAGAUACUUCUGCAAGAAGCUCCAAACAGUGAACUACUGAGAGAACACUUGUGGGAAUAUUUGCAGAGACAAACAAAUGUCAUCUUAAAAUACCAGCUACUGUAACUUACCCACAACAAGUAGGCUUCUUGGUCUGUAUUAACCCUGUAGGUACUAUUGUUGAAAUAGGCAUCUCCCCUACUCAGGAAUGUGGGCAAAUCUGAUCAUGCCUCUUUAAGGUUCUAAUUUGACAGAAGCACGUGAAUAAGCAAUCAUUUAGAAGAGUAUAUGCCUCCAAAUCAGAGCAAUACAAAUAAGAGCAGGGAAAGCUAUUUCACUUCACUGCUCAUUUCCCAAGUAUCCAAGUAAAACACUUCCUUAAAGUGUCACAUGCAUUAAAACACAAAGGAGAAAAACAGGCAGAGGUAAGCAAAGUUUAAAUCUGUAAAUCUGUUCUUUAAGACUCCAAUUAAUAAAAACUCAGGGAUUCUACUUGGAAUAUCCUACCCAUAACAUCAUAAUGUCAAUAAUCCAACAGUCAAGAGCCCCAGAAUCAGGGUCUAGAAUGCCAGAUGAAGAAUAGAGAGGAAUCCCCGUGAAUCCUGGGGUUUUGUAUAAUGGCAAACACUAAGAAGUAAGAUAGAAAGAGUGAAAUCCUAUUGACACUGUUGAGUCUGGACACCAUCCUAAAAAUGUCCUGUUUCACUAAUUGGAAGGGCAUCCAAGUAAGGAGAAGCUUGAUGCCAUAUGACAACAUCAGGCUCACAGGAUGGCUGCUCACCUCAGGACAUCACAUCUACAUUCCAGCAAAGGGAUUGAAAUUCAACACGUCGCACACCUUUUCAAGCCACUAUCGCAGGUCUGGAUGUUGAAUGUAAUUCUGCUACUUUUUGCAGAUAACAGCUUGUCUCUGGGUAGAGAAAGGCUGGGAUCGUAUUGAGAAAAGAUUAAAUUUCCCACAUAUCCAGAAAAGCUGAUGGUGCUCAGCAUGUAUUCUGCUUGCUCAUCUGAUGUUCACUCUGUCACCUACAAGUAUUAAGCACCUACUCUAUGUCAUGCUUCAUGCUGGAUGCCAAGGCUUCAAAGAUCAGUAGAACCUGAAUUUUACCUUAAAGAGACUAGAGUCUAAUGUCAACAUGCAAACUUGCCUUUUCUGUACCAGAGGAGAAAUGCUUCUGGCAUCAAGGGCAUGGAACUAAUUUUGAGGUUAUAAACAAUCUUUAGAAUUUGUCUCAAUUUGGCUAGGCGCAGUGGCUCAUGCCUGUAAUCC